rnacentral:rRNA from 1 species
UGGGGAAUAUUGGACAAUGGGCGCAAGCCUGAUCCAGCCAUGCCGCGUGAGUGAUGAAGGCCUUAGGGUUGUAAAGCUCUUUCGCCGACGAAGAUAAUGACGGUAGUCGGAGAAGAAGCCCCGGCUAACUUCGUGCCAGCAGCCGCGGUAAUACGAAGGGGGCUAGCGUUGUUCGGAAUCACUGGGCGUAAAGCGCACGUAGGCGGAUUGUUAAGUCAGGGGUGAAAGCCUGGAGCUCAACUCCAGAACUGCCCUUGAUACUGGCAAUCUCGAGUCCGGAAGAGGUAAGUGGAACUGCGAGUGUAGAGGUGAAAUUCGUAGAUAUUCGCAAGAACACCAGUGGCGAAGGCGGCUUACUGGUCCGGUACUGACGCUGAGGUGCGAAAAGCGUGGGGAGCAAAACAGGAUUAGAUACCCUGGUAGUCCACGCCGUAAACGAUGGAGGCUAGCCGUUGGCGAGCAUGCUCGUCAGUGGCGCAGCUAACGCAUUAAGCCUCCCGCCUGGGGAGUACGGUCGCAAGAUUAAAACUCAAAUGAAUUGACGGGGUCAUAGCUGUUUUCCUGCUGAU